rnacentral:rRNA from 1 species
AGCGAACGCUGGCGGCAGGCUUAACAUAUGCAAGUCGAGCGGGCAUAGCAAUAUGUCAGCGGCAGACGGGUGAGUAACGCGUGGGAACGUACCUUUUGGUUCGGAACAACACAGGGAAACUUGUGCUAAUACCGGAUAAGCCCUUACGGGGAAAGCUUUAUCGCCGAAAGAUCGGCCCGCGUCUGAUUAGCUAGUUGGUGAGGUAAUGGCUCACCAAGGCGACGAUCAGUAGCUGGUCUGAGUGGAUGAUCAGCCACAUUGGGACUGAGACACUGUCCAAACUCCUACGGGAGGCAGCAGUGGGGAAUAUUGGACAAUGGGCGCAAGCCUUAUCCAGCCAUGCCGCGUGAGUGAUGAAGGCCCUAGGGUUGUAAAGCUCUUUUGUGCGGGAAGAUAAUGACGGUACCGCAAGAAUAAGCCCCGGCUAACUUCGUGCCAGCAGCCGCCGUAA